rnacentral:ncRNA from 1 species
CAUCUGGUGAUGAGCUUUGCGCUCUGAGCUGGGGGUGCCGCAGAGACCAGCGAGAAGCGACUGUUUACUAAAAACACAGGUCCGUGCGAAGCCGUAAGGCGAUGUAUACGGACUGACGCCUGCCCGGUGCUGGAACGUUAAGGGGACCGUUAGCUCCGAUUUCGGUGGGCGAAGCUGAGAACUUAAGCGCCAGUAACGGCGGUGGUAACUAUAACCAUCCUAAGGUAGCCGAAAUUCCUUAGUCGGGUAAGUUCCGACCUGCACGAA